rnacentral:rRNA from 1 species
UACGUAGGGUGCAAGCGUUGUCCGGAAUUAUUGGGCGUAAAGAGCUCGUAGGCGAUCUGUCGCGUCUGCUGUGAAAACUCGGGGCUUAACCCCGGGCCUGCAGUGGGUACGGGCAGACUAGAGUGCGGUAGGGGAGACUGGAAUUCCUGGUGUAGCGGUGAAAUGCGCAGAUAUCAGGAGGAACACCGGUGGCGAAGGCGGGUCUCUGGGCAAUAACUGACGCUGAGGAGCGAAAGCGUGGGGAGCGAACAGG